GCACCGACCCCUCUACUCGGAUCGUCCGGCACGUUCCUGCCGGUGAAGGGAUUGAUUC
rfam:Mycobacterium sp. 852002-51759_SCH5129042 contig_368, whole genome shotgun sequence.